UGCGUAGGGUGCAGGCGUUAAUCGGAAUUACUGGGCGUAAAGCGUGCGCAGGCGGUCUUUUAAGUCAGAUGUGAAAUCCCCGGGCUUAACCUGGGAACUGCGUUUGAAACUGGAAGGCUAGAGUGUGGCAGAGGGGGGUGGAAUUCCGCGUGUAGCAGUGAAAUGCGUAGAUAUGCGGAGGAACACCGAUGGCGAAGGCAAUCCCCUGGGCCUGUACUGACGCUCAUGCACGAAAGCGUGGGGAGCAAACAGG
rnacentral:rRNA from 1 species